CGACGUGGGUAACCUGCCUCAUACAGGGGGAUAACAGUUAGAAAUGACUGCUAAUACCGCAUAAGCGCACAGUGCUGCAUGGCACAGUGUGAAAAACUCCGGUGGUAUGAGAUGGACUCGCGUCUGAUUAGCUAGUUGGUGGGGUAACAGCCUACCAAGGCGACGAUCAGUAGCCGGCCUGAGAGGGUGAACGGCCACAUUGGGACUGAGACACGGCCCAA
rnacentral:rRNA from 1 species